rnacentral:rRNA from 1 species
GACGAACGCUGGCGGCGUGCUUAACACAUGCAAGUCGAACGGAAAGGCCCUGCAUUUGUGGGGUGCUCGAGUGGCGAACGGGUGAGUAACAAGUGAGUAACCUGCCCUUGACUUUGGGAUAACUUCAGGAAACUGGGGCUAAUACCGGAUAGGAGCUCCUGCUGCAUGGUGGGGGUUGGAAAGUUUCGGCGGUUGGGGAUGGACUCGCGGCUUAUCAGCUUGUUGGUGGGGUAGUGGCUUACCAAGGCUUUGACGGGUAGCCGGCCUGAGAGGGUGACCGGCCACAUUGGGACUGCGAGACGGCCCAGACUCCUACGGGAGGCAGCAGUGGGGAAUAUUGCACAAUGGGCGGAAGCCUGAUGCAGCAACGCCGCGUGCGGGAUGACGGCCUUCGGGUUGUAAACCGCUUUCGCCUGUGACGAAGCGUGAGUGACGGUAAUGGGUAAAGAAGCACCGGCUAACUACGUG